GUGCUUGCUUCGGCAGCAUAUAUACUAAAAUUGGAAUGAUAGAGAGAUUAGCAUAGCCUCUGCACAAGGAUGACAUGCAAAUUCGUGAAGAAUCUCUUCUUUAC